GCGCAAGUGGCGGAAUUGGCAGACGCGCUAGGUUCAGGUCCUAGUGGGGCUUUAAACCCCGUGGAGGUUCAAGUCCUCUCUUGCGCACCA
rnacentral:tRNA from 1 species